rnacentral:rRNA from 1 species
GACGAACGCUGGCGGCGUGCUUAACACAUGCAAGUCGAACGGAAAGGCCCUGCUUUUGUGGGGUGCUCGAGUGGCGAACGGGUGAGUAACACGUGAGUAACCUGCCCUUGACUUUGGGAUAACUUCAGGAAACUGGGGCUAAUACCGUAUAGGAGCUCCUGCUGCAUGGUGGGGGUUGGAAAGUUUCGGCGGUUGGGGAUGGACUCGCGGCUUAUCAGCUUGUUGGUGGGGUAGUGGCUUACCAAGGCUUUGACGGGUAGCCGGCAUGAGAGGGUGACCGGCCACAUUGGUACUGAGAUACGGCCCAGUCUCCUACGGGAGGCAGCAGUGGGGAAUAUUGCACAAUGGGCGGAAGCCUGAUGCAGCAACGCCGCGUGCGGGAUGACGGCCUUCGGGUUGUAAACCGCUUUCGCCUGUGACGAAGCGUGAGUGACGGUAAUGGGUAAAGAAGCACCGGCUAACUACGUG